rnacentral:rRNA from 1 species
GCAAGUCGAGCGCGCCUUCGGGUGAGCGGCGGACGGGUUAGUAACGCGUGGGAACGUGCCCUUCUCUACGGAAUAGCCUCUGGAAACGGAGAGUAAUACCGUAUACGCCCUUUGGGGGAAAGAUUUAUCGGAGAAGGAUCGGCCCGCGUUAGAUUAGGUAGUUGGUGGGGUAACGGCCUACCAAGCCUACGAUCUAUAGCUGGUUUUAGAGGAUGAUCAGCAACACUGGGACUGAGACACGGCCCAGACUCCUACGGGAGGCAGCAGUGGGGAAUCUUAGACAAUGGGGGCAACCCUGAUCUAGCCAUGCCGCGUGAGUGAUGAAGGCCUUAGGGUCGUAAAGCUCUUUCGCCAGAGAUGAUAAUGACAGUAUCUGGUAAAGAAACCCCGGCUAACUCCGUG